GGUUAAGCGACUAAGCGUACACGGUGGAUGCCCUGGCAGUCAGAGGCGAUGAAGGACGUGCUAAUCUGCGAUAAGCGUCGGUAAGGUGAUAUGAACCGUUAUAACCGGCGAUUUCCGAAUGGGGAAACCCAGUGUGUUUCGACACACUAUCAUUAACUGAAUCCAUAGGUUAAUGAGGCGAACCGGGGGAACUGAAACAUCUAAGUACCCCGAGGAAAAGAAAUCAACCGAGAUUCCCCCAGUAGCGGCGAGCGAACGGGGAGCAGCCCAGAGCCUGAAUCAGUGUGUGUGUUAGUGGAAGCGUCUGGAAAGGCGCGCGAUACAGGGUGACAGCCCCGUACACAAAAAUGCACAUGCUGUGAGCUCGAUGAGUAGGGCGGGACACGUGGUAUCCUGUCUGAAUAUGGGGGGACCAUCCUCCAAGGCUAAAUACUCCUGACUGACCGAUAGUGAACCAGUACCGUGAGGGAAAGGCGAAAAGAACCCCGGCGAGGGGAGUGAAAAGAACCUGAAACCGUGUACGUACAAGCAGUGGGAGCACGCUUAGGCGUGUGACUGCGUACCUUUGUAUAAUGGGUCAGCGACUUAUAUUCUGUAGCAAGGUUAACCGAAUAGGGGAGCCGAAGGGAAACCGAGUCUUAACUGGGCGUUAAGUUGCAGGGUAUAGACCCGAAACCCGGUGAUCUCAGCCAUGGGCAGGUUGAAGGUUGGGUAACACUAACUGGAGGACCGAACCGACUAAUGUUGAAAAAUUAGCGGAUGACUUGUGGCUGGGGUGAAAGGCCAAUCAAACCGGGAGAUAGCUGGUUCUCCCCGAAAGCUAUUUAGGUAGCGCCUCGUGAAUUCAUCUCCGGGGUAGAGCACUGUUUCGGCAAGGGGUCAUCCCGACUUACCAACCCGAUGCAAACUGCGAAUACCGGAGAAUGUUAUCACGGGAGACACACGGCGGGUGCUAACGUCCGUCGUGAAGAGGGAAACAACCCAGACCGCCAGCUAAGGUCCCAAAGUCAUGGUUAAGUGGGAAACGAUGUGGAAGGCCCAGACAGCCGGGAUGUUGGCUUAGAAGCAGCCAUCAUUUAAAGAAAGCGUAAUAGCUCACUGGUCGAGUCGGCCUGCGCGGAAGAUGUAACGGGCUAAACCAUGCACCGAAGCUGCGGCAGCGACGCUGAUGCGUUGUUGGGUAGGGGAGCGUUCUGUAAGCCUGCGAAGGUGUGCUGUGAGGCAUGCUGGAGGUAUCAGAAGUGCGAAUGCUGACAUAAGUAACGAUAAAGCGGGUGAAAAGCCCGCUCGCCGGAAGACCAAGGGUUCCUGUCCAACGUUAAUCGGGGCAGGGUGAGUCGACCCCUAAGGCGAGGCCGAAAGGCGUAGUCGAUGGGAAACAGGUUAAUAUUCCUGUACUUGGUGUUACUGCGAAGGGGGGACGGAGAAGGCUAUGUUGGCCGGGCGACGGUUGUCCCGGUUUAAGCGUGUAGGCUGGUUUUCCAGGCAAAUCCGGAAAAUCAAGGCUGAGGCGUGAUGACGAGGCACUACGGUGCUGAAGCAACAAAUGCCCUGCUUCCAGGAAAAGCCUCUAAGCAUCAGGUAACAUCAAAUCGUACCCCAAACCGACACAGGUGGUCAGGUAGAGAAUACCAAGGCGCUUGAGAGAACUCGGGUGAAGGAACUAGGCAAAAUGGUGCCGUAACUUCGGGAGAAGGCACGCUGAUAUGUAGGUGAGGUCCCUCGCGGAUGGAGCUGAAAUCAGUCGAAGAUACCAGCUGGCUGCAACUGUUUAUUAAAAACACAGCACUGUGCAAACACGAAAGUGGACGUAUACGGUGUGACGCCUGCCCGGUGCCGGAAGGUUAAUUGAUGGGGUUAGCGCAAGCGAAGCUCUUGAUCGAAGCCCCGGUAAACGGCGGCCGUAACUAUAACGGUCCUAAGGUAGCGAAAUUCCUUGUCGGGUAAGUUCCGACCUGCACGAAUGGCGUAAUGAUGGCCAGGCUGUCUCCACCCGAGACUCAGUGAAAUUGAACUCGCUGUGAAGAUGCAGUGUACCCGCGGCAAGACGGAAAGACCCCGUGAACCUUUACUAUAGCUUGACACUGAACAUUGAGCCUUGAUGUGUAGGAUAGGUGGGAGGCUUGGAAGUGUGGACGCCAGUCUGCAUGGAGCCGACCUUGAAAUACCACCCUUUAAUGUUUGAUGUUCUAACGUUGACCCGUAAUCCGGGUUGCGGACAGUGUCUGGUGGGUAGUUUGACUGGGGCGGUCUCCUCCUAAAGAGUAACGGAGGAGCACGAAGGUUGGCUAAUCCUGGUCGGACAUCAGGAGGUUAGUGCAAUGGCAUAAGCCAGCUUGACUGCGAGCGUGACGGCGCGAGCAGGUGCGAAAGCAGGUCAUAGUGAUCCGGUGGUUCUGAAUGGAAGGGCCAUCGCUCAACGGAUAAAAGGUACUCCGGGGAUAACAGGCUGAUACCGCCCAAGAGUUCAUAUCGACGGCGGUGUUUGGCACCUCGAUGUCGGCUCAUCACAUCCUGGGGCUGAAGUAGGUCCCAAGGGUAUGGCUGUUCGCCAUUUAAAGUGGUACGCGAGCUGGGUUUAGAACGUCGUGAGACAGUUCGGUCCCUAUCUGCCGUGGGCGCUGGAGAACUGAGGGGGGCUGCUCCUAGUACGAGAGGACCGGAGUGGACGCAUCACUGGUGUUCGGGUUGUCAUGCCAAUGGCACUGCCCGGUAGCUAAAUGCGGAAGAGAUAAGUGCUGAAAGCAUCUAAGCACGAAACUUGCCCCGAGAUGAGUUCUCCCUGACCCUUUAAGGGUCCUGAAGGAACGUUGAAGACGACGACGUUGAUAGGCCGGGUGUGUAAGCGCAGCGAUGCGUUGAGCUAACCGGUACUAAUGAACCGUGAGGCUUAACCUU
rnacentral:rRNA from 1 species